AUUUGGUUUUGGAAUCUAAAGUUGGGGAGAGUAAAGAAAAAAGAGUUUAUUAGAAACUUGGAAAAGUGAGUUUUAUGAAAGGGUAAAAAUAUGAAAAGAAACAAGAAAAAGAAAUCACCCUUGAAACCAUAGAGCAAAGAAAAAAUAAAAGAAAGAAAAAAAAGCAAGCAAAGAAAAUGCUCAUGGUUGUGUGGAUGUAAAAAGAAAAAGAAAAAAAAGAUAGGGAUCAAAGAAAGGGAAAUUGUGUAGAGUUGAAUGUUUGGGAAUGCUCCCUUAGGAUAUGCAACUUUGUUGAAUUCUCUUAAUCAUAUCCUUUCUUGUAACCUAAGCCACAUUAC
rnacentral:lncRNA from 1 species